AACGCGAAGAACCUUACCUGGAUUUGACAUGUAAUUGACGGUACUAGAAAUAGUAUUUUCUCGUAAGAGACGGUUACACAGGUGCUGCAUGGCUGUCGUCAGCUCGUGCCGUGAGGUGUUGGGUUAAGUCCCGCAACGAGCGCAACCCUUGUCGUUAGUUGCCAGCACGUAAAGGUGGGAACUCUAACGAGACUGCCUGGGUUAACCAGGAGGAAGGUGAGGAUGAUGUCAAGUCCGCAUGGCCUUUAUAUCCAGGGCUACACACGUGCUACAAUGGUCGGUACAGAAGGCAGCUAAGCCGCGAGGUGGAGCAAAUCCUUAAAACCGAUCCCAGUUCGGAUUGGAGUCUGCAACUCGACUCCAUGAAGAUGGAAUUGCUAGUAAUGGCGAGUCAGCUACAUCGCCGUGAAUACGUUCCCGGGCCUUGUACACACCGCUCGUC
rnacentral:rRNA from 1 species